CCUAUUUUGCAGACUCCUUAACCGGGAAAUGUCAGGAUUCGGAAUUGAGGGCUAGAUUUUAGUCGUUUUCUCAAUUGAGCAACUUGGUGAUCCAAAAGCCUUUCUUAAGAUGUUUAUAUGCUUUUAUCCUUAUUAUAGGAAAGAACCUGCAGUUAAUAAAUUGUACCUAAAAUUCCAGGUAAAGUAGAUAAAUAUCACAGGAAGAAUUAGCUGGCUUCGCUUUAGAUCAAUGAGGAAGAGGAGACACAGAAGAAAAAAUUAAAACAUGCCUGGCCGGGUGCAGCGGCUCACGCCUGUAAUCCCAGCACUUUGAGAGGCGGAGGCUGGCAGAUCAGGGGGUCAGGAGAUAAGAAACCAUCCUGGCCAACAUGGUGAAACCCCGUCUCUACUAAAAUA